AAUAGAAACAAAGCUCUGCUGCAGAAGUUUCAUGGAGAUUUCUGAAAUUUAAUGCAGGUCUUGGUCAAGAUAUUCGGUAUAAAAUUCAAACUACAAUAUCUGUAAAUAACAGCUGUUAAUUUGGGUGUAUAGUUUGGUGAUUGUCUGUGUGUUUUUAUUUUUAUUUUUUUUGUUCUUUUCUUUUUCAUGUUGGUAGUCUAGUGGGUCCUCCCUUUUCUCUGUAUAUGACAGCCUAAUCAACAGCCUGGAAAGAGUGGGUGCAGCUGAGCUAAAAGGGCGUGGUUGAUGGGUUUUCAUGGCGCCAUUCAUGUAAUCUCAACUGGGUUUCCUCCCUCAGCCAGACCCAGUUCAGUGGAUUUGCUGACUGCAGGCAUUUGGGUGUCUAGAUGAGGUAAGGGCACUGUUCUAAAAAAGCUUUGAUCUUUCUCUGUUUUGUGUCACAACAUUUCAUCUGCACCUGAGUUUUUGGUCCUUAUAUUAGGCAAAGCUGUUGAUUUCGCCGUGUUGGUCUGUAAUUUUUAAGAGAUUUUAGUGCUUUAGUUGCUGCCUGAGGUAGAGGGUGUCAUUGGUUUUGUUAGAUCUGGGGUGUUUGAAGAAAAAGGGUUCUUUAGGUGGGAGCUAUUAGGGCAUUGAGGGCUUACUUGUAGGACCUUUUGGGUCUUGUUGAGUUGAGUUUUUCAGAUCUUUGGUGGAUUGGAGGCUUGGGAAUUUGAAUUGGUGAGGUGUUAGGGUAGUUUCUGUUCUUCAAGGACUCAAGGGUUUGGGGUACCAGUACCACAAAAAUGGAGAAAGUGAAAUGGGGGCCUUUGAUUCUAGCCGUUAUUCUUUUGGGGUUCAUUGGCCAUGGAUCAUAUGCCUCAUUCACCCCCGUUGAUAACUACUUAAUUGCCUGUGGAUCUUCAAAGAACCUCACAUUCCAAGGCCGUACUUUUGUUCCUGAUUCAGUGCAAUCUUCAAUUGUAUUGAAAAGUCAAGCAAAUUCUGUCACUGCUGUCUCCAGUUCCACUGUCUUGCCUCCCAUUUAUCAAUCUGCUCGUAUUUUCUCCGGGAUAGCUUCUUACAAAUUUGAAAUUGAGCAGGAAGGGCGGCACUGGGUUCGUCUCUAUUUUUACCCUAUUUCCAACUCCAGCCAUGACUUGACGUCAGCCUCAAUAACUGUAGUCACUGAUAGUUUUGUGCUCUUGAACAAUUUCACUUUCAAGAACUAUAAUGGUUCUUACUUGUUCAAGGAGUAUGCAAUCAAUGUGACUUCGGAUACCUUGACCCUCACCUUCAUCCCUUUAAACAAUUCGGUUGCUUUUGUCAAUGCGAUCGAAGUUGUCUCUGUUCCAAACGAGAUUUUUCCUGAUCAGGCUCUGGCUCUGUCCCCGUCUGCUCCUUUUAGCGGCCUUUCUGAACUUGCCCUUGAAACUGUCUACCGGUUGAAUAUGGGGGGUCCUUUGCUCACUGCUCAAAAUGAUACACUUGGAAGAACUUGGGAGAAUGAUGAGAAAUACCUCCAUGUGAACAGCUCUGCCAAGAAUCUUUCGGUGAACCCUGGAAACAUAAAAUAUACUACUGCUGUCACAACAGAAACAGCGCCGAAUUUGGUUUAUUCCACUGCCGAAUCCAUGGGUAAUGCAAAUGUAAGCAAUGGGAACUUCAAUAUAACUUGGGUUUUCUCUGUCGAUCCAGACUUCAUGUAUUUUGUUCGGGUGCAUUUCUGUGACAUUUUGAGCACGUCUCUGAACAAUCUUGUCUUCAACUUGUUCAUAAAUUCUGAUAUUGCUCUGGAGAGUCUUGAUCUCUCAACCUUAACUGGUGAUUUGAAUGUACCGUAUUACAAAGACUUCAUCUCCAACUCUUCAGCAGAUUCAGAUGUUUUGACUGUUAGUGUGGGUCCAGAUACAAUGGCUGAUGUUACUAAUGCAAUUAUGAAUGGCUUGGAGAUCAUGAGGAUCAGCAAUGGAGCUAAAAGCUUGGAUGGGCUUUCUUCAGUUGAGAGUCUCCUUCCCCAACCACCCACAAAAAGGAACAUGAUAGGAAUCAUUAUUGGUUGUGUUGUGGGAGCUUCUGUUGUUGUGGUGUUCAUAAUUCUCUGUAUUUGCUGCUUUGUUGCCCGUAGGUCGAAGACCCCCACCCAGGGGCAUCCAUGGCUUCCCUUGCCCUUAUAUGGAAACUCCCAGACCAUGACGAAGAUGUCCACGACUUCUCAAAAGAGUGGAACAGCGAGCUGCAUCUCAUUAGCUUCCACCAAUCUUGGCCGGCUCUUCAUGUUCCAAGAAAUCAUGGAUGCAACAAACAAAUUCGAUGAGAGCCUGCUUCUUGGAGUUGGUGGUUUUGGUAGGGUCUACAAAGGAACGCUUGAAGAUGGGACUAAAGUAGCUGUCAAAAGAGGAAACCCCAGAUCUGAACAAGGUCUUGCUGAAUUCCGAACUGAGAUUGAAAUGCUAUCCAAGCUCCGUCACCGCCACCUUGUCUCUCUUAUAGGCUAUUGUGAUGAACGAUCAGAGAUGAUUCUGGUUUACGAGUACAUGGCUAAUGGUCCCCUAAGGAGCCAUCUUUAUGGAACAGAUCUACCAUCUCUCUCCUGGAAGCAACGACUUGAAAUUUGCAUUGGAGCUGCAAGGGGGCUUCAUUAUCUUCACACAGGUGCAGCUCAGAGCAUAAUUCACCGUGAUGUGAAGACAACAAACAUUCUCUUGGAUGAGAAUUUUGUAGCAAAAGUUGCUGAUUUUGGCCUCUCAAAGACCGGUCCUGCCCUGGAUCAGACCCAUGUAAGCACUGCUGUUAAGGGUAGUUUUGGGUACCUUGAUCCUGAAUACUUUAGAAGGCAGCAGCUCACAGAAAAAUCUGAUGUGUAUUCAUUUGGUGUGGUCCUAAUGGAAGUCCUCUGCACCAGACCAGCUUUAAACCCUGUUCUACCAAGGGAGCAGGUUAAUAUAGCAGAAUGGGCAAUGAGCUGGCAAAAGAAGGGUAUGCUGGAUCAAAUCAUGGAUCCAAAUCUGGUUGGGAAGGUGAAUCCAGCUUCUCUUAAGAAGUUCGGAGAGACAGCUGAGAAGUGCUUGGCUGAGCAUGGGGUUGACAGGCCGUCAAUGGGGGAUGUCUUGUGGAAUCUAGAAUAUGCUCUCCAGCUUGAGGAGACGUCAUUGGCUCUCACAGAACCUGAAGAUAACAGCACAAAUCAUAUUGCAGGUAUUCAGUUGACACCAAUCGAGCAAUUUGAGAACAGCGUUAGUAUGAUCGAUGGGGUGCACUCUGGCACAGACGAUGAUGCAGAAGAUGCAGCUACAAGUGCUGUAUUCUCUCAGCUAGUAAACCCUCGUGGAAGAUGAGAAGAAACAAUUUCCAUGAUAUUGUGAUCUCAGCUGCUGGAUGCCCCACUAAAGAUUUGGCUGACCUGGCCUCGAGAGUACAAUCUCCAAGUAAAUGCAUGAAGGUUAUUUCUAAGUUCAUUGUUCUGGGCUUUUACCUCAUUUUUUCAUCCAUAAUAUGUUUUCGGUUGUAAUAUAGUUGAUUGAUGGGUGCCAAUUAAUCCAUCAGAAAUUGUGCCUAGACCACAAGGAUUCUAUUAAUGUCUUGAUUGAAUUCAUUCUGAGUAUAUGGAUUGUAUUGGCAUUAUAAGUUUAUGUUCACAAAACGAGUACAGAAAAUAAGGCAGAGUAUGUUAUCUCUGUAGCAAAAAAUUUCUUGUGAUUUUAUAUCAUCUUUGUGUAAAAUUUCUUAUUGGCUGCACUAGUAUUUUUCAGAAUUAUGAGAAAUCCAUUCUAGGUUAGAAAGAUGAUCUUCUCUACCUGACUCUGGAGAAAAUGCAGGGAUGAAGUGAGAUCAAAGUGUUGAACCUUAAAUUUUUCUUUAUUGGGAACCAAGAAUACCCAGAAGUCUAAUCAGUGAGCCUAAUGUAAUGCUUUAGCCUUUAGCUAGCCUGGAGUUUCAUUGUUUUGGAGAUGGAAAAACAAUAAUGAGUAACUCAAAAUCUUGAAAAUGAUUUUCCUUGCCGUUUCUGUGUUAACCAAAUGAUGGUUAUGAGAAACCUUUUAUGAAUGGGGCUGCCAAUGUUUAUGAAUAUUUAGGUUGUCUCUUAACUUCUUAAGUUUAGUGCCUUCCCAAAUCCUCGAAAUUGCUUAGAUCGAAUACAUACAUUUAUUUUGCCAAGCAAAGGUAGAAAACACUGCAUUGAUUUUGCAUGUUUUGAUUGAACAAUGAGAAGGAAGAAAACUCCAUACUGAAUGAACUGGAAUUCAUUACUUAGGGCAGGACAGGGGGCUCCUUGCUCUCUGCCAGCCAACCCCAAUUAUUCUCAAGAGGCAUAAACUUCAAUUAUUCUGUCACUGUAUGAUUCAUUUUCUACAGACUAUUCCCAUCCCACUGGUGGCUCCACCAGUGCAGUCUAGUGUACCAUAGUCCAUAAUCAAUGUGUCCUUUUGGUCGAAAACUCCUGCUGGUGAGAACAAACAAGAAUGGCAAUCUGCAGAGAGAAGUGAUGUGGUUCGGUACUUGUCUUCACCUCCUACUACUGGCAUUGCUACGCCGGGCUUUACUGGAUUCUCAAAAUCUGGCUGGUAAGUCUGGCCUAGGACUCCCUCAACCUUGGACGAGAGGCCAAAGAAUCUGAACUGUACUUCCAAGUGGGCAAAACAGUCAUCAGAAGGUAUCUGGUAGUUAUGGAUUCUAUCAUCCUCCUUUGUAAUGGGCACAACAUUGAUUAAAAUCUCUGCAAUUUCUGGUAGAGUGACAACAACACUGUUUCUGUUUGAUGUUCUUUCCACUUUCAGGUCAUUUUCUGAGAAGUUCCAUGCAGAAAGAUGGCCUUCUGGUAUAUCUAGUUCCUUCCCAUCAUAAGAGAAUUUCAGAUGGUCAAUCUCAUCAUCCCAGGCCGCUGCUCGGGUAGCCUCCAGAGAGAAGGUGUGGGAGUCAACAAGGAUUCCCAGAGCUUGAAUCCAAGUAUAGUCCCGGGUUCUCCCAGCUGGACGGAGGCCAAUGAAGCGGGCAUUGAUCUGGAGGUUGAGGUCAGAGACCAAGCUGAAAUGCUCAUUUCUCUUCCCAUGGAAGUAGAAGACAAUGCCAUCUCCACCAAUGAACCGUGGAUCCAAGCACGCAGCUCCAGGACUGUUACAAUUUGCUUUACGAUCUAUGAUCAUCAAACCAAAACAUAAGGUCAGUACCAGACGUUUGAACACAGCCAAAGAAGUUUAAAUGAUGAAAGUGAAAUAGUUGAAGAGAAGACAUCUCACUCUUGCACUCAGCCUGGCAUAAGGGUUCGGCUUUCUGCAUUGAUUUGUGUUACACCAGCUACAAAGCAUAGCAGAAUGAUCAACAAACAAUUGCUGCUCAAGAUCUCCAUAGCUCGUCUUCAAUGGCAGAUUGAUCAAAACCCAUCUCUUUCAUGCUGUUUUGUAGAACCAGACAAGUGGGGUUUGCUUAUAGUGCUACUCUAUCCAUCAAGUGUUCUUUAAGCUUUCUUUUACAUAGUCUUUGACUGAAAUUUGAAGCAGGAACAUGGGCAUGGUUGGAUUUCUUAAA